GACGAACCGUGCGAACGUUGUUCGGAAUCACUGGGCUUAAAGGGCGCGUAGGCGGCAGAUCAAGUCCGGGGUGAAAGCCCCCAGCUCAACUGGGGAAGUGCCUUGGAUACUGAUUUGCUCGAGGGAGGUAGGGGUCGAGGGAACUUCCGGUGGAGCGGUGAAAUGCGUUGAUAUCGGAAGGAACGCCGGUGGCGAAAGCGCUCGACUGGAUCUCUUCUGACGCUGAGGCGCGAAAGCUAGGGGAGCAAACGGG
rnacentral:rRNA from 1 species